rnacentral:rRNA from 1 species
UACAGAGGGUGCGAGCGUUGUUCGGAAUUAUUGGCGUAAAGGGCGCGUAGGCGGUGCGGUAAGUCGACCUGUGAAAUCUCCUGGCUCAACUGGGAGCUUGCAGGCGAAACUGCCGUGCUGGAGUGUGGGAGAGGUGCGUGGAAUUCCUGGUGUAGCGGUGAAAUGCGUAGAUAUCAGGAGGAACACCGAUGGCGAAGGCAGCUCGCUGGACGGUGACUGACGCUGAGGCGCGAAAGCGUGGGAGCGAACAGG